rnacentral:lncRNA from 1 species
CCUUGCACGCACCGACGGCCUGGCCAAUCCGUGGGGAGAGGCGCCUUACGUCACUCAUCCAGAGGGCCAAUCGGCGCUGACCGUGCUGCUCCGCCGCCAAACCUCGCGCGGGGGAAGCGGGGCAGAGGCAGGCAGGGCCGGGCGAGGGCGGUCGAAGCCGCCAGCGAUCUCGGCUGCAGCCGCCGGCGCUGCUCUGUACGCGGGGCGCGCCCUGACCCUUCCUCUUUGGGCAAGCUCGAGGGCGCGCGCGCGGUCGGCGUCCCGGGGCCUCGAACUCCAGGGCGGCGAUUGGGCAGGCCGCGGAUUGCUCACCCUGCCCCGAGCGUGAGUCCGCCGGCACUCGGCCGCCGCCAAGCGCGGGCGCCACUGGAGCGGCGGCGCCCGAAGACGCGCCUCGGGCUCGAGGAACAGCCCUGCGUGGCCACCUCGUCCUCUGCAGCCGAGCGGCGGUAUGUAUGGAAGCAUUCUGACCAGCUGCAGAAAAGAGCUCAGACUGGCUAUCCAUCUAGUUAGGUAUCUAUCUUACAAUCAAAAAUCUCUGACUUACUUAAUACUCCUUCCUGUUUGUGUAAAAUUCACUCCCAUAUUUCACCCUGGAAAGAAACACUUUGACUUGGAUUUCCCUUGAGUGGAAACAGGCAACUAUUACAUUCGACUUAUUUAUGUGAAACUUUUUCUGACUAUUCUUAUCAUCUUACCCCAAGCUUAGAGUAAUUCUCAGCCUACUAACUAGUUAUUUUUUAGGCUUUCCAUAACAAUAUGCAGAAUAGGAAGCAUUUUUUUCAUGCUGUGGCUGGAAGCAACUUUGAUGAAUUUUUUGCAUUUAAUCUACAUCUAUUUCAAAUUUUUUUAAUGUACAGUCAGUUACAAUGUGUCAAUCUCUAGUGUACAGCACAGUGUCCCAGUCAUGCAUAUACAUGCAUAUAUUCGUAUUCAUAUUACAUCUAUCUUAAGUAACCAGAUGUGUUUGGUAAAAUUUUUAUGUCCAGUGUCGGAAACUCUCACAGUUUACAUUUAUGUGUAAAUCUUAUUGUGUCUGAUAGUCCCCCAUGAAGAUACUCCCUAUUAUGUCUGCUCUUAGUCUUAGCCCUUGGAUAUCUUACACGAAUCCCACUUUUUUUCAAGAAG